ACAAUGGAGAGUUUGAUCCUGGCUCAGGAUGAACGCUAGCGGCAGGCCUAAUACAUGCAAGUCGAGC
rfam:Algoriphagus sp. A40 NODE_19_length_91914_cov_9.62367_ID_37, whole genome shotgun sequence.